rnacentral:lncRNA from 1 species
CCAAGAGCAAGAUUCUCCAGAGCUAAACUGCAAGGGGCUGGGCAGAGGCCUGCAGAGGUGGCCUGUGGCUGGGACAGUCCCAAGGGAACACGGGGGAUAGGGUGGGGGGAAUGGAGCACAGGCCCUGGGACCCCACAGAUUUCCAACUGCUAAUGCAUGCCCAGCUGGACUCGCUCUGACCAUCUGGGCCACUGGGAGAAGAGGGAGGGGCUCCGUCACUAUCCUGCACCGGCACCGCGCAGGCUUUGAAAGUUUCGAAAUCCAGUGGGCGCUGCACCCUGUCCUUAUGGAAGCCCUUCAUAGACAACGCUGUGUCAUGGUCAACCAGAUGUCCUUGAAGCCAGGACAACGAAGGGUUAACGACGGAGGAAGAGCGGGCUGUCCAGGCCAGGAGGCCCCAAGGCAGGGAGAAAGAGAAAGCCGUGUUAGUCAGAGUUCAUCACCACCACCACCACCAUCACCGCCACCACCGCCACGAACCACCGACCACCGACCACCGACCACCGAGCAGCCACGGCAGCACACAGCGGGGAGGAAGAAGCGACCACAACCGAGGGGGCGGGACCCAAACGGGCAACCCCAUCCUGACUGCACAGAAGGUGGGGUGGGCCCCGGGACCAGCUGGGGGGGCCAGGUAUGGCUGCCGAGGGGGCUCUCCUGCAAGGCUGGCCCUGGGGGAGGGGACGGGAGCGGGC